GAUGAACGCUGGCGGCGUGCCUAAUACAUGCAAGUCGAGCGAACAGACGAGGAGCUUGCUCCUCUGACGUUAGCGGCGGACGGGUGAGUAACACGUGGAUAACCUACUUAUAAGACUGGGAUAACUUCGGGAAACCGGAGCUAAUACCGGAUAAUAUAUUGAACCGCAUGGUUCAAUAGUGAAAGACGGCUUUGCUGUCACUUAUAGAUGGAUCCGCGCCGCAUUAGCUAGUUGGUAAGGUAACGGCUUACCAAGGCAACGAUGCGUAGCCGACCUGAGAGGGUGAUCGGCCACACUGGAACUGAGACACGGUCCAGACUCCUACGGGAGGCAGCAGUAGGGAAUCUUCCGCAAUGGGCGAAAGCUUGACGGAGCAACGCCGCGUGAGUGAUGAAGGUCUUCGGAUCGUAAAACUCUGUUAUUAGGGAAGAACAAAUGUGUAAGUAACUAUGCACGUCUUGACGGUACCUAAUCAGAAAGCCACGGCUAACUACGUG
rnacentral:rRNA from 1 species